UCGUCGUAUUAAGUAAUGCCGAUUUGCCGGAAUCCAAUCUACCUUUAUAGACAGAUCAUCAUCAGGUUGAUACAUCCCGUUGGAGAGAUGCUGCGGCAUCAACGAUGCACCGGCAAUCGAGGAUCUAGCUCACGCUUCCGAAGCUGUUUCGCGGUGAUUCGUUCUGCAAACAGAUCGUCAAAGUGUUUAAAGAAAAAACCAGAAGAAGCUGUUUUGUGCUGAUUCUUGCUGCAUACAGAUCGUCCACAUGUCUAAACAACAGUCAGAAGAAGCUGUUUCGUGCUGAUUCUUGCUGCACACGGAUCAUCAACGUGGUUUCAUAGAACAGUCAGAAGAUGUGCGGGUUUCUGUUCUUCGAUCUACAAGUACGUACCGAGUGAAACUGCACGAGCGACAGCUGUUAUCGAUUGCUACAGUGACGUCACCAUGCCCAUGCGAAAGGCUAUGCAUUUUACAGAAAGACUUGAUCAGACUAAAUAAUAUAUUUUUUGUGAAGUUUAUCUAAAAGCCAGUUUUGAAUAUGUAUUUAGUUUUUUUUUAACACUGAAUGAGGAAUGAUUGUAUUCAAAAUAAAACUUCCUUACAGGUUUUUUCGCGAUAAAUUUGUUUAAUUAUUAAUCUAAAUUAAAACUUAAAUUUAUCCCGAAGAAAUGCGUAAAGUAGUUUUAUUUCAUUUCAUGACGAGUUGAGCUAACCGAUCGUGGCUAGAACUCAGCCCUAAUGAUUUUUUUACUGAAGACAGCACUUAUCACCGUGUAGACAUAAGUGUUGUGCAGAAAUAAUUUGCAAAUGUGUGCUACAUUCAAAGUUCUAUAGAAUAUCUUCCGUCACUAACAUAUAUAACCAGUAAUUAAAAUCUUACAUUGGUCUCAAUGACAGUAGCAGCACAAUGCUGGGUUAAAUAAGUGUCUGGCUUAAUUAUGAUCUAUUAAAACUUAAUAAAUAAAAUAUGCGUGUGCUUUUUGGAAUGCAUUUUGUUAAAUCAUGAAUUACAAAUCUAUCAAAUACAUUUUGAUAUUGCGUUAAUAAAUUUAACCACAUACUCGUCACUUCCGCUAAUAUUGUGUCAAAAUCAUCCAUGAAUAAUGAAGCACCAAAACUCCCAGUGUUAUGACUUUCUGAUUUUUUAAUAAUUUUAAAUAUGAGGUGUACGUUAAUGUAUUUCUGACUAUAAAUGUGACGUUGUUGCUACGAUGAGUUCUCUUAGAGCAGUAGUAGUGGCGACUAAGGCGCGUAAAAUAAGUUGCUUUUUAUUAAUGUUUAUUUGGUUUUAAAUUUACAUCUAUGAUUCAAAUUACUUAUUGUAAAGUGUUAAUUUGCAAAAGAUCAGUAUGCCGUUUAAUUUAUAAAGCGAUUUCAAAAUAACCCUGAAUAAUACAGCCAAACACAACAAUAAGAAACUCGUGAACUGGUUUUUAUUUAUAUUCGAUGUACUAUUGUACAUAUUUAUGAAGGUGCCUGCUGAUAAUUGAUUUUGGAUCAUGUUAAUAAGAUAAAAAUAUAGGCAUGCACAUCUUUGAAGUGUAAUACUAUAAGUUGGAAGUCAAUUGUUUUUUAAAAUAAAUAUAUUUCAUAGUGCAGAAUAAACCAUAUUGAAAUUUUAAUAAUUACAAGUAUAUCUUUUCUAUUCGGUUCAUGUUAUUUUAACUGCAGUGUAAUUACCUAAUUUACUAGAUAUUUUUUUAAAAAUAAUUGAAUUGAAUACCUGAAAUCGUGGUUUGGCAAAAUGAUUUCACUGUUAUUAUUACGAAUAUAAGACCCAACGUCGCUUAACUACCGUAUUGCUGCUAACUGCGACUUUUUGCGUCUUUGUGUAUGCCCAGCGAUAUAAUAAUUUAUUUGUACUAGUAUUAUGUAGCUAUGGACCCUUGCUAGCUAUGUAAGUAAACACAUAUAAAAUGCUUUGCAAAAGAACGGACACCAAAAGAAGUUUAUUUCAAUGCCGAUUGCAAUUGAUUAAAUUGAAUAUAAAUGUUUGAUGUAGUUUGUAUGUUUACUUAUAAUCUUGUAAAUUGAUAUAUUAUGCGUGAAGUUAAAUCUGGCAUUUUUUUCAUACAUUUUCGAUGAAUUCAACAGAAUAAAAGUAAACUGAAUAAUAAGUAGUUAGCUCAACAAAACAAAGACAAAAUUAUUUUAUUUAGAUUAUUUUUUAAUAAAAACGUUAUAAAUCUAUACUCCUAAUAAAUAGAGUGACCUUUCGUUAAAAUCACAACUUGCAUCCUUCUGGGAAUACUUUCCACGAUAUUUUUACCAACGUCUUGUGGAGUACGUUCCCAACUCUACUGCGAUUAAUCUUUUAAGCUCCUUGAUGUUUUCGUGGAACAGAUUACACUUUAGAACAUGUGAGACAUGCUCAAUCGGUUUGAAGUCAGAACUUCGAGCUCGCUAAUCCAAACGACAGAUCCCAAAUUCUAGCAUAUACAAUUCUACGUCGCCAGUGCGGCAAGCUCGAGCAUGGUCUUCCAGAAAACUGUCUUUGCUCCAAGAGCUGUUAAUGCAGGUCAUUGAUAUAGAAUAAGGACUUCCAUGAUGUACUGCAGUGCAUUUAGUAUUCAGCUUUUUUUGAAAAUUAACUCCUUAUGAUCCGUUGAAUUAAUUGCUGCCUAAAACGUAAUUGAGCCUCCUUUGUAAAGAGUGAUUUCUUCGAAAAACACUUGCAUAGGAUUCUUCUGAUUUUCGCAGCAUUCUCCGGCGUCGGCCCUCAACAUACAAAAAUACCUUAGCUUCAUCGGAAAACAAUACUUUAUUCUAGUUCUCUAAAGUCAAGCUAAUUUCUACUCCUCUUACUUCUUUAACUGGGGGUAGUAUAUCUAUCAAAAAUCUGCACAAACAUGCCUAACAAUGUAAUAGGCGGUAUAUUUUUUGGUUCUGUCUAUUGCAUAAAAAGGACGCACAUGAGAGCCAGUCAUAUCAUACGAUAGGUCAGCACUCAGAAAAAUGUUCGCUGUAGAACAGAGGUUCUUAAAGUAUUUGUUGUCACGCCACGCUGUUGCGUAAAAUAGAAAUGCCCACGCCUCCUCUUCUCUUCAAUGCAAAGAAGAGAAAGACAGGGAGCUAACAUUCUUCAUGCCUUUGGUAUUCUAACUGAUGAUCCUGAAAAUUUGUAUAUGUAUACGUUGUCACGGGUUCAAAUAGUACCUUUCAUCCGAUACACAUAUUUCAACGAUAGUUAGUAUAGUAUAUAUUAUAUAGUUAGUAUAGUAGAUAGAUAGUGGAAACCACUAUGACUUACACGAUUAUUAGAUGUACCAAGUCCUCAAAUGAUUAAGCUUGAGAUACCCAUCCAUUCUUUCUUAGAUUCUUCCUUAGAUUAUCGUACUUUUUUUAGAUGACUAAAACCGCAUAAUUUAAUAGUAAUAUAAUUCGGAACGAAUUCUAGAAAUGAU
rnacentral:lncRNA from 1 species